UUUUAAAACAGUGGAGGUUAGGAGUUUGGACAGUUGGUAAAAGGGUGAAAAGAAGCAAUUAGUAGAUUAUACACCAAGGUGUAGGAUGAGCAUCCUGCACCUUGUCCAAAACGCAGAAAAAGGUGAAUGAAACGCUCGCUUUUCGGAAGCGGUUUAUGCGUAAUGUACAAGCCCAUGUUCGCAAUGUACAUGGGAAGAUUUAAAAAAGUAACUGAUUUGACCCUUACUGUUCACACAUUAAUAACUGAAGUGAUAUCAACUGCUAAUCACGUCGCCCAAUAUACUGUUCAUAUUUUUCACACUCAACCUCCAUAUUUUUCAUUCAUCACUUUCUCUCUCUACCAUUUUCGCUCUCUACCAAUUUUCUCUCUCUUUCAGUUUCUCUCUCCGCCAUUUUCUCUCUCCAUUUUCCAAAAAAGAACCAAACUUCUUACAAUUCACACCACACAAACUCCGAUUACCACCCAAAAAAUUUGAAUUGCACCACCACAAAAGAAGAUUGGGCAGUAGUGUUUAUGGACAGUGGCGAGAAGAAGAAACCAAGACAACGAAAACAACCGCAAUCAAGGCAACCGAGGCAACGAAAACUUCCUUGCCCAACACCUCUGAGAAUCAUUCCUCCAUCUCCACAACUAACAAUGGGUGAAGAUAUUCUCCCUCCAAUAGGUAACACCCCAUCAGGUGCUACUGACAAGCAGACAGGUCCCACACCUGUAACUGUUGAACAGCCCACACCUCAGAAGGACCCCAUACCUACCAAACAAGCUGAUCCCACCACUGCUGAGAAGUAAGUUGACUACUUCCAUAUUAUUGUUGUACAAUUCUCUAAAUGCAAUGUACAUUGUUUUAUUCAUGUUUGUACAAUGAAAUAUAUUAUGAUAAGAACUACAACUACUAAACAAGGUGCAUAGUUUGUACAAUUCUCUAAAUGCAAUGUACAUUGCUUCAGACUUGUUAUGUACAUUCUUCAACUUCCUAUUAGUGUUGUACAUUUCCCUAAAUGCAAAGUACAUUGUUUAUUUUUACUGUUGUAGGUUCUAUUAAGCCAUGUUGUACAAUGUCUGAAUAGCAAUGUACAUUCCUUUACACUUGAUAUGUACAUUGAUCAACAUUUGUCUACAUAUUAUUGUUGUACAUUUUCCUAUAUUCAAUGUACUUUACUUUAUUCAUGUUUGUACAUUUGUAUAUAUUACAAAAAGAACUCCACCUUCUAUCCAAGGUGCAUAGUUUGUACAUUCUUAUUUCCUUGCUUGUUCAAAAACUACUGACCAUGUAGGCCCCCUAUUGAGAAGGAAACCACUGAGAAGGAUCCCAUACCUACCAAAGAACA